rnacentral:rRNA from 1 species
GUGGGGAAUAUUGGACAAUGGGCGCAAGCCUGAUCCAGCCAUGCCGCGUGAGUGAUGAAGGCCUUAGGGUUGUAAAGCUCUUUCGUGGGGGAAGAUAAUGACUGUACCCCAAGAAGAAGCCCCGGCUAACUCCGUGCCAGCAGCCGCGGUAAUACGGAGGGGGCUAGCGUUGUUCGGAAUUACUGGGCGUAAAGCGCACGUAGGCGGACUGGAAAGUCAGGGGUGAAAUCCCGGGGCUCAACCUCGGAACUGCCUUUGAUACUGGGUGUCUUGAGUAUGAGAGAGGUGUGUGGAACUCCGAGUGUAGAGGUGAAAUUCGUAGAUAUUCGGAAGAACACCAGUGGCGAAGGCGACACACUGGCUCAUUACUGACGCUGAGGCGCGAAAGCGUGGGGAGCAAACAGGAUUAGAAACCCGGGUAGUCC